CCUACGGGAGGCUGCAGUAGGGAAUCUUCCACAAUGGGCGAAAGCCUGAUGGAGCAACGCCGCGUGGGUGAAGAAGGUCUUCGGAUCGUAAAACCCUGUUGUUAGAGAAGAAAGUGCGUGAGAGUAACUGUUCACGUUUCGACGGUAUCUAACCAGAAAGCCACGGCUAACUACGUGCCAGCAGCCGCGGUAAUACGUAGGUGGCAAGCGUUAUCCGGAUUUAUUGGGCGUAAAGGGAACGCAGGCGGUCUUUUAAGUCUGAUGUGAAAGCCUUCGGCUUAACCGGAGUAGUGCAUUGGAAACUGGGAGACGUGAGUGCAGAAGAGGAGAGUGGAAUUCCAUGUGUAGCGGUGAAAUGCGUAGAUAUAUGGAAGAACACCAGUGGCGAAAGCGGCUCUCUGGUCUGUAACUGACGCUGAGGUUCGAAAGCGUGGGUAGCAAACAGGAUUAGAUACCCUGGUAGUC
rnacentral:rRNA from 1 species